CAGUCAUGGAUUCUUGCAAAUUCAGUCCUGGGAAAAUUUCCAUUAAGAUGUGACUCAGGUAAAACAAAUGUAUUUUAAGAAUCUAAUCUACAGUGAACAAUUUGUCCUAUCCUGGAGGAAUGAAACUAUAAUUUCAAACACAUGUCUGGGUAACUGGACAGUAAGGGCAGUAUUCGUUUAUAGUCUUACCAGCAAGAUUCUACUCAGAUGGUAAAAUGGUACACCAGUGAGGGGAGGCAUGGGCUAGCUCCCAAAGAGGCCUUCCCUUCCUCCCAUCUCAGACUACCCCCUGCCAAAAUGAGGAGCCAGUGUUGCUAUGUGACUACCUCACAGAGCCCUGGAGGGAUGGCUUGAGCUUCUGAUGCAGAAAGAGGCUAAUGCUUGGAGUCGAUGGUCUCCUCCCACCUCUCAUCUAGGGGUGGGGGUGGGGGGGAUUUCCUAGAGAGGAAAACACUUUCCCCUAAAGUGUUUAUGAGGAAAUCCUAGUGGCUUUGACAUUGAAACCAUGGAACUGUUUGCCUGUUUGUUGAAAACUGGUAGAAGCGAAACAGCACAGCCUCACACAGUAAUUAUAAGAUGAUUGAAAAAAGUCUGUAUCAAUGCCAGGGGACAUAAAAGAUAUUUGCCUUCCAAAUGUCUUGAUGACUUAGAUACAACACAUUUCUCUAUAUUUAGACUUAGAGUAACAUCAGCUGAAAGCUUCAGUUUCUUUCCUCUGAAUAGAGAAGGCUUCUCUGAUGCAGUGCAGGAAAGGGAGUGGGUAAGAGCUGAAGGGGGUUUGAGAAAGGGAGGGUAAACGUCCCAACCUGAGCUUGUGUGCUUCCUUGGUGCACAACAUGAUGGCACCAUUACUGGAUUCCUAAUAUGCUUGAAAAUGGACUCAUAGGAAAAAAAGAAAAUAAAGAUUUUUUUUUUCCUUUAAUGAAAGAGUUGGAAGCUCCUUGGGAGCAUGUGUUUUGAAUCACCACAGGUGAUGGAUGCGACUAGUAUAAAUGGAUUAACUACCUCAAUACUCAUAAGAAGAUGGGAACCAAGGGCAGGGACUCCUGCAUGGAAGUGUGAAUCCCAUCCAGGAGGAGACAUGAUUGAGGGAAGAGCUGGAGGUGCCUGCUCGGCACAGUCGCGAUAUGGCAGGGGCAAAACCAUCGGGACGCCUUGGGGGGCAAUACCCAGAUGAAGAAUUGUUGGACCCCGACCACCAGGCUUCAGAGCCAAAUACAACAGAGACGGUUUGGGGUAAAGAGGAGCAGUAGCUUCGUGGCUUUGCUGCGCAAAGGCUGCUCCCGGCGAACGCCUCCAGGCUGCACAGGGUGGCAUCGCGUUCCUGAAACGGGAGGCUAAGAAGGGAGGACGGCAGGUUGGAGAAGAGAGGACAAGAGCCAUGUGGCUUGAAACAGCUUUGCUGAAGCAUUAGUGC
rnacentral:lncRNA from 1 species